ACAGGGAGGCCUGGCGUGCUGCGAUUCAUGGGGUCACAAAGAGUUGGACACUACUGAGCGAUUGAACUGAACCCUAAGUGUGGCAGAGGCUCAGGGGCCACUUGCUGAGAGCACAAGUGAGGGAAUGAAUGAAUAAGUGAAUUAAUGAAUGAGAGCACCUCCUUUGCAAAUAGUUUUGGUACAAAGAACACGAAAUUAACUCAGGAGUCAGAUUAAUUUGGGUUAACUUCCAGGUUUUGUCACUUAAUGGCUAUUGAGUCAGGCAAAGUCCUUAACAUAAACUUAAGAAUCUGUUUCUUGUGUACACAAAGCAAAAAGUAAGUAAAAUGAAACCAACAUCAAGGGCUUACAACUCAUGUAAAGUGCCUAGUGGAACACCCAGAAGUACUCAAUAAAUUGUAACUUCUUCUCUUCUAUCUUCUUCAUUUCACCUUUUUGCUUUAUUAUUAUUAUUAAACUCACUUCUCAGAGAUAUAGAGAUAAUUUUGCACAUUUUAGAACUGCCUAGUUUGAAUUUUUUUCACAUUUCAUAAUGUCCAGAUGAAUCAGCAUAUAAAUGGUCUAUGUCAGCAGUCUUUGUCAUCCAUGUAUAAGUCAUUCCUUUCUCCCCUCUAAGGAGAAGACGUAUUUGAAACAAGCCUAUGAAAGAAUAACAACCAAAUACAGCAGGAAUGUCUUCAGUCGCACACCAGCUCUACUGACGGAGAGUGAAAAUUCUGUGGGAACCUGAAUGCAAGCAGACCUAGAGGCCCAGCAAGAAAUGUCCAUCACGGGAGCCCCUUUACAAUUUGGGCCAGCGCACACUGGAGAAACUGAUGGCCUUUUCCAAAAUACAGUUUUUAUCAUGACUUUACAUUUUAAAAGGUGACUUGAGUUCAAAUAUGAACUCUCUCUCUUUAGCCUUAGGGUUGUGCUCUGUAAGAUGGGAAUAAUAAUACAAUCUGCUUUAUGAGCUUUCUAGAAGGAUUAAAUAAAACAGUGCAUAUAUAGUUCUUACUGCUAUGC
ensembl:lncRNA